rnacentral:lncRNA from 1 species
UCUGAUUGGGAACACAUCAUCAGUGGACAUCGCGACCAAGGAGAACAUGGAGUCUCUGAUCGGGAUCGGCCAGGACCUGCUCAAGAAGCCAGUGGCCAGAGUGAACAUCGACACAGGUGUGUACGAGCCCUGCUCCGGCGAGGGGACGAAUGCAGAGGCGCUAGCUCACUUCGCCAAGAAGCUCUCUGACGAGCGCAAGCUACGCAAGCGCAAUCUCGACUCCUACUAGCAAGCUUGAAGGAUGAUGUCAGCAGAGAAGCUUGAAGGAGCCCUAGCUGCACCUACACUAGCUAGCAAUGUGCCUCACAUAGAUGCAUGGUAUUGGUAGCUAGUCAUUUCUUACUUUUUAUAACUAUAUUAAUCAGGAAACAAACACAUAUGUCGACCAAUAAACAUGUAAGUCCAAUCAUCAUUUGUUUGCCUAUGGUCUCAAAAGAAUGAUUCCAUUCUGAUGUGCGGUUGUUUAGUCUAAUGACCUUCGUGAUGCAAGCAGCCUCCUUUCUGGAUUGCAAUCUUGUGAUUGAUGAUGACAACAACAAUCAUAUAUACAUAUAUAUAAUCUUGUGAUUGACGAUGGCAACAUAUAAUCUUGUGUGGACGACGCCAUGUUGCAGUUCUUCCGGCGAGCACUAAGAUUUUCUAGGGUUUCGACCGAGUGGGAGCGUUAAAAUUUACUUGUGAGGUGAUAGAGGCAAUUUGGUCAAUUUACUUGUGAGGUGAGAAAUAAAAGAAUGGAAAAUAUAAAUGGUGUGCUCUUUUCCGAAUUCAUUUAAUGAAACUGAUGUUGUUCUUUAAAUUACUUUAAAACAAGUGCUAUUUUCUUAAUACUAUCUUAAACACUUGUUGUUUCGUAGAUUCCCCCAACUAAGGGCUUGUUCGGUUAUUUUCAAUCCAUAUGGAUUAGAGGGGAUCGAUACGGAUUAAAAGGGAUUUUGACUUACUAGGGAUUAAAACCCGCACAAUCACCCUCAAUCCAUAUGGAUUGGAGUAGAACUAAACAAGCUCUAGAGGGGCUUGCUCCCCCGUUUUGGCGUCCAGAAAUGGAGAACCUUAUCUAAAUUUACACUACUAGUUCAGUUUAAGAGGGUAUAUUAGCCGGAGCAGAGAAAAGGGGAGAAAAAUGCUAGGAAUUUUCAGGUCGGGCACAACAAGUAGGAGUGGUAAUGAAUUAUGAUCUGAAUUUUUUUUCACAAUUUGUUAGAGCUAUAAAAUAAUUUUAGUUUAAAAAUGAACAUAAAUAGAGCUUUUUAAUCCUUAAAUUCUAUAAUUUAAAAUUAAAGGCUUAUUGUCACUCCUAAGUACCAGCGUUUUGGUGGCCUUCUUGAGCUUUUUCAUGAUAACUCAUCAGGACAAGGACGACAGACAUGGCAAGGGUGAGCAAACAAGGAACAGGUUGGUAGUACUGCUACUGUUUUGCACUCGAUCAUAUUCAGAGCUGGGAGAUCCAUCUCCAGAGUGCCGAUGCUAUGGCUAUGCACGCAUAAUUUCCAAGCUUCCCGCGUUACAACGUCAACCAUUGUAGUAACCACGGUAGUGGAGGGCGGUGCCCAGCGUGGCCAAGCAGCGCGUCAGGUCGUGCACCAGCCCCAAGCAGCAGCUACUGGCCGCGGAACCCGCGCGCCCGGCCUCGCCCUCGCCGGCGCCGCGGCACUGGUCUACCGCCGGCACCAGGCAGCGGGGGUGCAACUCCGCGGCGCACGUCACGCAGCGGUACCGCCACGCGCCCAGGGCCCGGCCGCACGAGCCGCACCCCACCGCCUGCUUCUGCUUUUGCUUGCCAUCGCCGUCGUCCGGGUGCGCGGGGCCCCGCGCCGACCCGGGCAUCCGCGCGCACAGCGGGUGCACGGCGACCCCGCACGCGACGCAGGCGUAGCACGCGCGCUCCACGGCCUCGCUGCACACCUCGCACCCGCCGCCGCCGCCGCUGCCGUCGGCUCCCGCGGCCUCGCGCCGCCUCAGCCUGUGCAGCGGGUGCACGGCGGACUACACCAUAUAUAUCACAAAUAUCACCACAUAAAUCAGGUUUCACAGCACAUAAGUCUCAAUAAGUAUCUCACAAGACCAAGUAUAACUAACAUCACCAACACUCACAAAUAUAAGUCUGGAUCAUCACAAAACAGGUCAUCAACGAGGUGGGCAUCUGGACUGGUUCGGCGAAGGGCUGGACGAAGCGUGAGGGUUGUUCGACGCCGCCGAUUGACCCUGCACAGAGAAGAGAUUGCAUGUGUGAGAACAUAUGAAUAUAUAUCAUGCAGUACUAAAAUUUUGAUACUCACAGGAGUAGUGAACUCAGCAGGGUCAGCUGCAGGGAACAACGGAGGUGGUGGAGCAUGACCCUGUGCGGCGCCAAGGCUCUGCAUGUACGCGAACAUCUCCGCCAUCCUCUUCUCCAGCUCCUCACGUUGCCUCCUCUCAUCAUCUAGCUGAGUCUGUAAUAUUUUGCCCUAAUGUUACGAUAAUGCAAAGAGAAGAUAUAUAAUAAUCAAUGAACGAUGAAUAGAUAAGGAAUAACCUGGAGUUGUUGGAUACGAUGCUGUGAGCUGUCCUACCGAGGUCGUAUGGCUGGGCUCGCGCUCGUGCUCCUAGCUCGCACCUGAGAUAGAGUGGGAGUGGAGGACGAGUCGAUUGCCCCGUCAGCAAUCCAGUACCGCCCAUGCCUCUUGCCUCCUCCGACCCUCAUGAGGACAUCUCCGUCGAUGUCCUCGGUCCUCGGAUCGUAAUCUGGCCCGUGGACCUCCUUGGCCAUGGCGGUGUACUAACUGAGGCGGCUGUGGACGGUGGGGUUGGUGUACGCCUCGGGCCCGUCAUCCGGGUUGUAGGUGACGUCGGACGUCGCCUUCCCCUUGUGGGCCAUAGCAUAUGCCAAGAACGUGGAGCAAGGCGCGCCACCAUGUGCCACCGACUGCGAGAUAACCAACGAGAUGGUUAGAAAUCAUGUCUAGUCGAAAGUUAUAUACCUAAAUAAAAAGAGCGCGUACCCAUGCUUCCGCGUAUUUGCCCAGGCUGCGGCUGCCUUGAUGGUGGGAGGGACCUUGCAUCAUCAAACGCCGUUCCCGGCUAGCGUUGUGCGCCUCGUCCCACUCAGCCGAGCACCACCCCUGCACCAUCUGCUCCCAGCACUCAGGAUGCGCGGCGCACCAAUGAGGAAUCAUCUAAAAAAUACAAGUACACGGCAUAUCAGAAGAUAAAAUUAAGCAUAUUUAGUACCAAUAAUAAAGUUUUGUAUUUACCUGCAAGUACUGGUCCGGAGUCAACGACAUGGUUCGGGCGUCCUUCUUGCUCACCUUCUCCCCAAGGACGGAGCCAUGGUAAGUGACGAUGGCCUGGAUGCGUGCCUCGUAGUGCAUGUCCACGACGAGCUUCUUACAGCUCGUGGUAGCCACCACAUCCGCCCUGGCCUCGUAUCCAGCCUCGCAUCUGAAGAAAUCCUACAUACAAAAACGAUGUAUCCAUACAUUAUUUCAAGAAUAUGCAACAAAUGCGACUAAACAAUAUAGUGCGAGGAAGACUUACCCACAACUCUUGCUUCACCCGCUCCGCCUUGUUACUGCAUUGGGGGCGACGACAUAGUGGUCGAAGGUGUAGGCUGGGCUCGUCACUCCGGCGUACUCGACAAGUCCAGGGAAGUGUUCCCUGCAUAGAAGGCCGAGGAUGCCAUUGGGGUUGCGGCCGUGACCCCCUGCACUCUCCAAAACCUUCCAAGACCUUUCCAAGUGAUUAAGAUAAAGUAUUAGUUUCUAUUAUUAAUUUGAACAUAUAAUAUGAAAAAGCAGCAACAACAUCUAAAGUUACCUACCGCUCUCCAUCGGGUCAUAUCAGCGGACGUCUGUCACGAAGUAUGGGUCGCUGAGGGAGACUCGCGGGACGGGCGGGUGGGGUGGGCCUAAUAAAAAUAAAUUUUUUUACUAUUUUUAAAAUAUGUUUUAUGUUUCCUGGAAACGAUUUGCACUGGCGGUUUUAUUACGUCGACCGCCAGUGAAAAUCGAUUUUCACUGGCGGUUUUAUUACGCCGACCGCCAGUGAAAAUCGAUUUUCACUGGCGGUCCUCAGUUACCCGCCUGUAGAAAUGAUGAUUUCUACUGGCCCCUAUCACUGGCGGUUACGAAAAACGCCACUAUAAAUAGGUUUACAACCGCCACUAUAGAACUUCUCUGUACUAGUGCUCCGAUGAUCCGAUCCUUAAUUCCUUCUUGGAUUCUCUUCUACUCUAGAGCUCUGCUAGACCGAUCUCCAGUUAAGUUUCAUACACAUGGAGAGCAACGCCUCGUCCAACUGCGCCACCGUGCCGCAGCCGCCGCCGUCGACAGGGAAGCUGAUCACGAUUCUGAGCAUCGAUGGUGGCGGCAUCCGCGGCCUCAUCCCAGCCACCAUCAUCGCGCACCUCGAGGCCAAGCUGCAGGAGCUGGACGGCCCAGAUGCUCGGAUCGCCGACUACUUCGACGUGAUCGCCGGGACGAGCACCGGCGCCCUUCUCACGUCGAUGCUGGCGACGCCGGACCAGAACAACCGGCCGCUGUUCGCCGCAAAGGACCUCAACACGUUCUACCUCGAGAACGGGCCCAAGAUCUUCCCUCAGAAAAAGUAUACGCCGUUCAUAUCCGCCUGACGCUCUUUCUUCUUCCUUGGUUUGGUAGCUCUCUGUCACUUUCAUUCAUGCGUCAGUUAGUUCGGCUGUUCUUCGUGUCGCAUGCAUCGCAUCUAUCCACCAACUCUAAGCUACAGCUACCCAACGGGUCCAGCAAAUUCAUACUGUGGUUUGUGGUGGUGCACAGGGCCGGGUUCCUGACGCCGGUGGCGAACCUGCUGGGCCUGGUGAGGGGUCCCAAGUACGACGGCGUGUUCCUGCACGACAAGAUCAAGAGCCUGACGCACGACGUGAGGGUGGCGGACACGGUGACCAACGUCAUCGUGCCGGCGUUCGAUGUCAAGUACCUGCAGCCCAUCAUCUUCUCCACGUACGAGGCCAAGAACGACACCCUCAAGAACGCGCACCUCUCCGACAUCUGCAUCAGCACGUCGGCGGCGCCCACCUACUUCCCGGCACACUUCUUCAAGAUGGAGGCCACCGACGGCAGGUCCCGCGAGUUCCACCUCGUCGACGGCGGCGUCGCGGCCAACAACCCCACCAUGGUCGCCAUGUCCAUGCUCACCAAGGAGGUGCUCCGCCGGAACCCGGACUUCAACGCCGGCAGGCCCACCGAGUACACCAACUACCUCAUCAUCUCCGUGGGGACCGGCUCGGCCAAGCAGGCGGAGAAGUACACCGCGCCGCAGUGCGCGAAAUGGGGCCUCUUUCAGUGGCUAUACAACGGCGGCUUCACCCCGAUCAUCGACAUCUUCUCCCACGCCAGCUCCGACAUGGUCGACAUCCAUGCUGCCGUGCUCUUCCAGGCCCUCCACUGUGAGAAGAACUACCUUCGCAUUCAGGUACAGUGUAUGUACAGGAUACAUGAAAACAUCUAACAUGGACAUACUAAAGCAAAAAACAAAAAUGUUCUUCAUAUAAAACGGAUGACGACCAUUGAUGGCUGCUAUUAUAUUGGACGCCUGUGUGUGUAGGAUGAUACUCUGAUUGGGAACACAUCAUCAGUGGACAUCGCGACCAAGGAGAACAUGGAGUCUCUGAUCGGGAUCGGCCAGGACCUGCUCAAGAAGCCAGUGGCCAGAGUGAACAUCGACACAGGUGUGUACGAGCCCUGCUCCGGCGAGGGGACGAAUGCAGAGGCGCUAGCUCACUUCGCCAAGAAGCUCUCUGACGAGCGCAAGCUACGCAAGCGCAAUCU